ensembl:lncRNA
GGAGAGACUACGGGGAAGGUAGUUGUCAUUAUCAUAAGGUAAUGCAGAGCGAUCAGAUGUCCCAGGGGAGAGACUAUGGAGCAGUUAGUUGUCAUUAUCAUAAGGUAAUGCAGAGUGAUCAGAUGUCCCAGGGGAGAGACUAUGGAGCAGUUAGUUGUCAUUAUCAUAAGGUAAUGCAGCGUGAUCAGAUGUCCCAGGGGAGAGACUACGGAGCUGUGAGGGCAUCAGGGAGGAGCUCGUGAUAAACAAGGCAUUGGGACUCCACUGGGAUAUACAGGUAGAGACCUACCUAAAACUCACUAAGGACUGUAUUCAUGGGCAUGGGCACACGCACACGCACACACACACACACACACACACACGCACACACACACACACACACA